rnacentral:rRNA from 1 species
UACGUAGGGGGCAAGCGUUGUCCGGAAUCAUUGAGCGUAAAGAGCGCGUAGGCGGCCCUGUAAGUCCGCUGUGAAAGUCAAGGGCUCAACCUCGAAUGCCGGUGGAUACUGUCGGGCUAGAGUGCGGAAGAGGCGAGUGGAAUUCCUGGUGUAGCGGUGAAAUGCGCAGAUAUCAGGAGGAACACCAAUUGCGAAGGCAGCUCGCUGGGACGUAACUGACGCUGAGAACGCGAAAGCGUGGGGAGCAACAGG